UGGUGAGGUGCACGUCACACGUGGUGAGGUGCACGUCAGAGCGAGCGCCCCCACGUGGUGAGGUGCACGUUACACGUGGCGAGGUGCACGUCAGAGCGAGCGCCCCCACGUGGUGAGGUGCACGUUACACGUGGCGAGGUGCACGUCACACAUGGCGAGGUGCACGUCAGAGCGGGCGCCCCCACGUGGUGAGGUGCACGUCACACAUGGUGAGGUGCACGUCACACGUGGUGAGGUGCACGUCAGAGCGAGCGCCCCCACGUGGUGAGGUGCACGUUACACGUGGCGAGGUGCACGUCACACGUGGCGAGGUGCACGUCAGAGCGGGCGCCCCCACGUGGUGAGGUGCACGUCACACAUGGUGAGGUGCACGUCACACGUGGUGAGGUGCACGUCAGAGCGAGCGCCCCCACGUGGUGAGGUGCACGUUACACGUGGCGAGGUGCACGUCACACGUGGCGAGGUGCACGUCAGAGCGGGCGCCCCCACGUGGUGAGGUGCACGUCACACAUGGUGAGGUGCACGUCACACGUGGUGAGGUGCACGUCAGAGCGAGCGCCCCCACGUGGUGAGGUGCACGUUACACGUGGCGAGGUGCACGUCAGAGCGAGCGCCCCCACGUGGUGAGGUGCACGUCACACGUGGCGAGGUGCACGUCAGAGCGAGCGCCCCCACGUGGCGAGGUGCACCUCGUCACACGUGACGAGGUGCACGUCGCACGGGGCUGGGCGCGUGCCCCGACGUGGCAAGCGAGCGACGGCGAGCGACGGAUCGACGACCGAAUCAGAGACUCUUGAAGAACCCGCGAGCUGCGCUUGAACGCGACGAGCAUCACUGACGACGUUGACCCCCAACCACCCACCCCCCCACUGCUCCCGGAGGAGGAGGCAGGGAGUUUAAACGACGAGGGGGUGAACCAAACGUGGAGAGAUGUGCGAUCUUCCGCCUCCGUAAAUAUCUCCAUUGUAAAUCGGACUCACGUCUCAAAAAUACAAAAAAAAAGCCACGUGGAGAAUUUCGAUGUAUAUAAAAAAACAAACGUGAACUUCAACGUAAAAAGAACGGGAGCAAAACGUGCGGCAUCGGACUAAAUGACUGCUCAUCGAUUACAAAAUCUAGACACGUACAUUUUGUAUUCAUGUGCAUGUGUGUGUACGUGUGUGUACUCGUGUGCGCGCGUGCGUACGUGUGCGUGCGUCUGCGCGCACUUGGCAACAGGGAGCGGUGGUGCAGCGGUUGGCGUGCUGCGCUACGAACCCGGCGACCCCAGGUUCAAUUCCCGCUCACGGCCAACGACGGUGGCGAAAUAUCCAAACCGGUCCCCCUGGGCCUCCCCCCCCCCCCCCCCUAGGUCGACUCAGCCUCAAAACGAGGUGCUAGCGGCGUGCGUAAAUAUCAGCACCGGGGAGACAAAGGCGGCAGGGCGCGGUCGGUUCUGGCCACCCGCCCCCUCGUGCGGAGCGCCGGCCUUCGUAGGCACCGCUCGCUAACGGCACUCGUCCCAACAGCCCGUUAGAGGCCGCACGGGGGAGUCUUCGUGUGUGGGGGGCGCAUCAGCUACAGCGCCGGCGACGCAACUCCCGACGGGAGCCGAGCCGCCGCGACCGACCGACAGGGCCACCGCCACCCCGCGCCGCUGAACAAAGCCCAUCUCUGCCGGCCUGGCCCCCCACAGCUGGGCGGCCCCACGCCAGAGCCGCCGUGGCGCUCCGCGUGGCCGCCGACACCCCGGGACCCCGGGCAGGUGGGAUAAGCGACGUGGUGCCGGCUCCUCCCGUUGAUGUCUCCGUGCCGUAACCUCCCCAUUCUAGUGCCUCCUCCUCCGCUCCGUCCGUCGCCGUCUCAAGUCGUCGUCCCAUGCCUCGGUUUCCUUCCGCCAUUGCUUUUUGGUAGAUUGCUGUUUUUUUUUUAUUCCCGACUCUGGCGUCCCACUACCGCAGGCGCGACGACCGUCGCUUGCGCCGGGACGCGCGAAGAUGCAGAGAGAGAGACGAGAGAGACGCAGGGAGAGACACAUACAGAGACACAGAGACGGA